GCAUGGCUUGACAAGCGGUGCCAUGUCCGCACCUGGGAUCCAAACCAGUGGACCCUGGCCUGCCAAAGCAGAACGUGCGAACUUAACUGCUGCACCACCUGGCCAGCCCCCAGACAUCAAUAUUUUUUUAAGUUCCUAAGAUGAUUCCAAUGAACAGCCAGGAUUGGAAGCUUACAGGUUUUCCAGAAGCCAAUGAUUUUUAUAUGCAUGGGCAUCACCUGGGAAGAAUCCUUAAUGUGCCACUCCCCAAGCCCCGCCUGCCAGUUGAAGCCCCUGCUGUUAUUCAAUUAAGCCUGGAUACCAGACCAGAGGCUCCUGGACGGAGAGUCCCCAGCCCAGAUCUCCUGUGGGCACAGCACACAGCUCACACAGGCAGAGCGGAGCGACUAACAGUUGGAGUUAGAGCUUUCUGGUUCACCCUGCACCGCAGGCAAAAAGCAAUGUUCCUUUGGAUUUGCACACUGUCUGGAUGGAGUGAAUCAUUCGCAGUCUCACAAGAGUUACUGGGAGAAUCAACUAAGAAAUACCAAUUUUUCUGACCAUCUCUAGUCACCGCCGCAAUUGCAUGGACCCAAAUGGUAUACUUUCUGGGUGCAAUUUUAUCCCUGGCUUUAUUUGCCAUUCUUUUACUGUCCAUAUUUUCCUUUUUCCUCAACUGUUAUCUAUUUCUACUCUUGUAAAAGUGUGUGCAUUGUUGUGUGUGUGUGUAAUACCCCAAAUCUUCU
rnacentral:lncRNA from 1 species